rnacentral:rRNA from 1 species
UACGGAGGGUGCGAGCGUUGUCCGGAAUCAUUGGGCGUAAAGGGCGCGUAGGUGGCUCGUGAAGCGUGCGGUGAAAGUCCGAGGCUCAACCUCGGAUCGGCCGUGCGGACUCGCGGGCUCGAGCGUUGUAGAGGCGGGUGGAAUUCCGGGUGUAGCGGUGGAAUGCGUAGAGAUCCGGAAGAACACCGGUGGCGAAGGCGGCCCGCUGGGCAACUGCUGACACUGAGGCGCGACAGCGUGGGGAGCAAACAGG